AACGAACGCUGGCGGCAGGCUUAACACAUGCAAGUCGAGCGCCCCGCAAGGGGAGCGGCGGACGGGUGAGUAACGCGUGGGAACGUACCUUUUGGUUCGGAACAACUUCGGGAAACUGGAGCUAAUACCGGAUAAGCCCUAACGGGGAAAGAUUUAUCGCCGAAAGAUCGGCCCGCGUCUGAUUAGCUAGUUGGUCUGGUAACGGCUCACCAAGGCGACGAUCAGUAGCUGGUCUGAGAGGAGGAUCAGCCACUCUGGGACUGAGACACAGCCCAGACUCCUACGGGCGGCAGCAGAGGGGAAUAUUGGACAAUAGGGGCAAGACUGAUCCAGCCAGGCCGCGUAAGUGAUGUAGGCCUUAGGGUUGUAAAGCUCUUUUGUCCGGGAAGAUAAUGACUGUACCGGAAGAAUAAGCCCCGGCUAACUUCGUG
rnacentral:rRNA from 1 species